AAGAUAAACACAAAAAAAGACCUGUCCGAUCACUUACACUUUUUUAAUUAUGAUUUAAAACUUGGUAGGUAUUUUUUACAGCCAUGCUGUUAUUGUGUUAAAUUGUUGCUAUUGAGGAAAGUCUAAUAUUCAGUGAAAUAAUUUCGCUAAUUGUGAGUAUGGCUUGGGUUUAUCAUAAUUAGAGGGAUAUGCAUCACUUGAC